AUACGGAGGGUGCGAGCGUUGUUCGGAAUUACUGGGCGUAAAGGGCGCGCAGGCGGCUUGAUAAGUCAGAUGUGAAAGCCCACGGCUCAACCGUGGAAGUGCAUCUGAAACUGUCUGGCUUGAGUACUGGAGGGGAAAGUGGAAUUCCUGGUGUAGAGGUGAAAUUCGUAGAUAUCAGGAGGAACACCGGUGGCGAAGGCGACUUUCUGGACAGAUACUGACGCUGAGGCGCGAAAGCGUGGGGAGCAAACAGGAUUAGAAACCCCGGUAGUCC
rnacentral:rRNA from 1 species